GAUUACCUAAUAAACUAUGGCGCAGACGUGUCGGUUUAGAGUUGCAGUAACCAGAUUUGCAGAAGACAGACUUGAGUACUUGGAAAGAAGGAAAACGGGAUGUCUUAUUAAGUUUAGGCAUCAGGAUUCUGAAGAAACAGCUUUGGACAUAGCCAAUACCCUCUCUAUAUGGGUCAGAAUCUGACCCCACGAUAAUUAAC
rnacentral:lncRNA from 1 species